rnacentral:misc_RNA from 1 species
AAGUCGUAACAAGGUUUCCGUAGGUGAACCUGCGGAAGGAUCAUUAAUGAAUUCUAGGACGUUCUUUUUAGAAGUCCGACCCUUUCAUUUUCUUACACUGUGCACACACUUCUUUUUUACACACACUUUUAACACAUUAGUAUAAGAAUGUAAUAGUCUCUUAAUUGAGCAUAAACAAAAAUAAAACUUUCAGCAACGGAUCUCUUGGCUCUC